UGAGCGGCGGGGCCUAUACAUGCAAGUCGAGCGAAUGGAUUAAGAGCCUUGGCCUUCUUAUAGUAAGUUAGCGGCGGACGGGUGCCUUCACGUGGGUAACCUGCCCAUAAGAGUGGGAUAACUCCGGGAAACCGGGGCUAAUACCGGAUAACAUUUUGAACCGCAUGGUUCGAAAUUGAAAGGCGGCUUCCGCUGUCACUUAUGGAUGGACCCGCGUCGCAUUAGCUAGUUGGUGAGGUAACGGCUCACCAGGGCAACGAUGCGUAGCCGACCUGAGAGGGUGAUCGGCCACACUGGGACUGAGACACGGCCCACACUCCUACGGGAGGCAGCAGUAGGGAAUCUUCCGCAAUGGACGAAAGUCUGACAGAGCAACGCCGCGUGAGUGAUGAAGGCUUUCAGGUCGUAAAACUCUGUUGUUAGGGAAAAACAAGUGCUAGUUGAAUAAGCUGGCACCUUGACGGUACCUUUUUUUUUUUGCCACGGCUAACUACGUGCCAGCAGCCGCGGUAAUACGUAGGUGGCAAGCGUUAUCCGGAAUUAUUGGGCGUAGAGCGCGCGCAGGUGGUUUCUUAAGUCUGAUGUGAAAGCCCACGGCUCAACCGUGGAGGGUCAUUGGAAACUGGGAGACUUUAGUGCAGAAGAGGAAGGUGGAAUUCCAUGUGUAGCGGUGAGAUGCGUAGAGAUAUGGGAAGAACACCGGUGGCGAAGGCGACUUUUCUGGUCUGUAACUGACACUGAGGGCGCAACAAGCGUGGGGGAGCCAACAGGAUUAGAUCCCCCUGGGUACCUCCACGCCCGUCAACGAUGACUGCCUAGGUGUUGGGAGGGUUUUCCCCCCCUUUAGUU
rnacentral:rRNA from 1 species